GACGGAGGGUGCAAACGUUGUUCGGAAUCACUGGGCAUAAAGAGCACGUAGGCUGCGCGCUAAGUCAGGUGUGAAAUCCCCCGGCUCAACCGGGGAACUGCACCUGAUACUGGCGUGCUCGAGGACGGUAGGGGUGAGUGGAACUCCAGGUGGAGCGGUGAAAUGCGUAGAUAUCUGGAGGAACACCGGUGGCGAAAGCGGCUCACUGGACCGUCUCUGACGCUAAGGUGCGAAAGCUAGGGUAGCAAACGGG
rnacentral:rRNA from 1 species